CCUCCGUGCUCCUAGUCCCUUCCUUGAAGAGGUCGGAUAAGCCACAUGAUGAGUCUCAAGCAAGGGACUUGGAGCUGG
rnacentral:pre_miRNA from 1 species